GACGAACGCUGGCGGCGUGCUUAACACAUGCAAGUCGAACGGUGAAGCGCCUUCCUUUUUGGUGGGUGUGGAUGAGUGGCGAACGGGUGAGUAACACGUGAGUAACCUGCCCCCUUCUUCUGGAUAACCGCAUGAAAGUGUGGCUAAUACGGGAUAUUCUGGGUCUGUCGCAUGAUGGGUCUGGGAAAGAUAUUGUUUCGGUGGGGGAUGGGCUCGCGGCCUAUCAGCUUGUUGGUGGGGUGAUGGCCUACCAGGGCGGUGACGGGUAGCCGGCCUGAGAGGGUGGACGGUCACACUGGGACUGAGACACGGCCCAGACUCCUACGGGAGGCAGCAGUGGGGAAUAUUGCACAAUGGGCGCAAGCCUGAUGCAGCGACGCCGCGUGAGGGAUGGAGGCCUGCGGGUUGUGAACCUCUUUCGCCAGUGAAGCAGGCCUGCCUCGUUUGUGGGUGGGUUGACGGUAGCUGGAGAAGAAGCGCCGGCUAACUACGUG
rnacentral:rRNA from 1 species